GCCUCGUUAGCGCAGUAGGCAGCGCGUCAGUCUCAUAAUCUGUUUUAGAAAUCUGAAGGUCGUGAGUUCGAUCCUCACACGGGGCA
rfam:Nematostella vectensis strain CH2 x CH6 NEMVEscaffold_1689_Cont38091, whole genome shotgun sequence.